rnacentral:rRNA from 1 species
AUGAACGCUGGCGGCGUGCCUAAUCCAUGCAAGUCGAGCGAACGGACGAGAAGCUUGCUUCUCUGAUGUUAGCGGCGGACGGGUGAGUAACACGUGGAUAACCUACCUAUAAGACUGGGAUAACUUCGGGAAACCGGAGCUAAUACCGGAUGAUAUUUUGAACCGCAUGGUUCAAAAGUGAAAGACGGCCUUGCUGUCACUUAUAGAUGGAUCCGCGCUGCAUUAGCUAGUUGGUAAGGUAACGGCUUACCAAGGCAACGAUGCAUAGCCGACCUGAGAGGGUGAUCGGCCACACUGGAACUGAGACACGGUCCAGACUCCUACGGGAGGCAGCAGUAGGGAAUCUUCCGCAAUGGGCGAAAGCCUGACGGAGCAACGCCGCGUGAGUGAUGAAGGUCUUCGGAUCGUAAAACUCUGUUAUUAGGGAAGAACAUAUGUGUAAGUAACUGUGCACAUCUUGACGGUACCUAAUCAGAAAGCCACGGCUAACUACGUG